AGAGAACCACGUGGAGGAAAAGCACGCGAGUUUGGAGCGGGUGGAGCAGGAACAGAGGUGGACUGGAAUGUCACACGACGGGGCAGCUGGAAGGGCACCACUGAGUUCAGUACUUCAAAAUUGCCGUGCUCUACCUCUCCCCAGUGCACAAAAACACUCUCCACACCAAGCUGCUGCUGCUGGGGGAUGGAGGGAUGGCGUCAGCGAUUCAAGACUGUUUUUCCUACCUGUUCAGCACUUCUUUCAGCGAUAUGAAGUUAAAUCCAGGCCAAGUUCCCACCUGGUGGGAAGCACUGUGCAGGUUCGUGGGGAUGCAGCCCUGCACAGCCCAGACUGGACUCCUUCCCCAUGGAACUCACAACACACGGGAGAGGCAGAGAGAUCCAAGCGCACAGAAAAACACAAGAAGAUUCAGCCCUGUCAUCUUGUGCAAAUCCUCACUGUCCCCAGAAGGAAGAGAGGCACACAGCGCUCCCCAGCCGCUGGAAUCCAGGAAGAAUUGAGGUGCUCAAGACCCACCACCUCUUUGCCUGCAAACUCUAAGCUCACUGUCCUGCUCCCUUGCUCCCAGAAGUGGCACUGGAUGGAUCCCAUCCAGAGGCUAAUGAUGGAGGAUUGCUCGAGUUCAAGACCAGCCUGGGCAACAUAGUGAGACCCUGUCUCUACACACACAAAAAGCCAGAUGUGGUGUCGUGUGCCUCUAGCCCCAGAAGGUGUGACUCAUAAGACUGGAAACUCCUGAACGUAGCAAGGAUGCUGGCAGCCAAGCCAAUGACUACAAACAUGAUAAAGUCCAUUACAAGGAUGGAAAGUCCA
rnacentral:lncRNA from 1 species